GAAAAAGCAAGGGGACGGUGCCCAUGCCCCUUAACAAAGGAAUAGUACUAGUGGUCUUCUCUCUUUUUCUCCCUGCUGCUGAUGGAGCUCCGCUGCCACCUCUCUAGGUUUACCGUUAGCUUCCUGUCAGCAUUCCUGAUUUCUCUGGAAUCAUACCAGGGAUGGAACUCAGGACCUUGCAUUUGUGAGGCAGGCGGCAGAACCACUGAGAUGCAACUGUUGUCCCAGAGACUGUCCCAGUGGUGCCUGAAGUCACAGAGAGGAAGCGAGAGAGAGAAUCAAAGUAAUAUGUUUAUCAUCCCAAGAGUGUGGCCAACAAUGACUGUUGGUGACUUGAGAGCAGCAGAAAGCCCUUCUUGGGCAUCCAGUCAUGAUAAAGUACAUUUUCCAUUUUUGACUUCUAAGUCACAAUAAACACAUUAACACAUGCAAGAACAUCAUUUUCAGGUAUAGCUUGUUCCAGAAUUGUUUUGUGUGCUGACAUAAUGCUUCAGUAUCACUAUAAAGUUAGUAGUAGUGGGGUACAGUAUGGGUUGGUGGUGGAUUCAAUGACAACAUCCCUUUGCCUGGGCUCGAUGUCAGAGAAAUAAAUGUAUCUUCCUUUAUUCACCUGGUUGAAUGCCAGUGAGUUGGCUACCAGAUACUUCCAGAAGAAGAA
rnacentral:lncRNA from 1 species